rnacentral:lncRNA from 1 species
CCUGGGAAGGAAGAGGUCUUCCUCCUUCUUGAGUGUUUUACCAACUGAAGUGCGAUAAAUGUAGAGCCACCUGAGGCCCCUGUUCAUGCCACGGAAGAGGACCCUACAUGUGACCAAAAUGUAUUAGAUCCUCAGCUAUGGGAACGUCCCAUUGAGGAAGAGUGGCUUAAGGUAGACUUUGACCUGGGAAGAGCUGCCUUUUCAAGCAGGGAUGGCUCCAGCGGCAGGUGCAUCAAGCAAUUCUGCCUGGUGAAUAUCAGAGGAAUGAACAUCACUGCCGUGCUGCCUGACACACUUGUGUUGUCCAAGCUAUGUAAGUGUUGACCAUUGUUCACGUGUGCACAUGCGCAUUAGAGUUCCUUGUUCACCAUGUAU